rnacentral:rRNA from 1 species
UACAGAGGUGGCAAGCGUUGUUCGGAAUUACUGGGCUUAAAGGGCGUGUAGGCGUUUUUGUAAGUCAUGUGUGGAAGCCCCUGGCUCAACCAGGGAAAGACACGUGAAACUGCGGAGAUAGAGUGUAGUUAAGGAGGGCGGAAUUCCUGGUGUAGCGGUGAAAUGCGUAGAUAUCAGGAGGAAUACCAGAGGCGAAGGCGGCCUUCUGGGCCGUUCCUGACGCUAAGACGCGAAAGCAUGGGUAGCAAACGGG